rnacentral:rRNA from 1 species
UUGAAGAGUUUGAUCAUGGCUCAGAUUGAACGCUGGCGGCAGGCCUAACACAUGCAAGUCGAACGGUAACAGGAAGCAGCUUGCUGCUUUGCUGACGAGUGGCGGACGGGUGAGUAAUGUCUGGGAAACUGCCUGAUGGAGGGGGAUAACUACUGGAAACGGUGGCUAAUACCGCAUAACGUCGCAAGACCAAAGAGGGGGACCUUCGGGCCUCUUGCCAUCAGAUGUGCCCAGAUGGGAUUAGCUUGUUGGUGAGGUAACGGCUCACCAAGGCGACGAUCCCUAGCUGGUCUGAGAGGAUGACCAGCCACACUGGAACUGAGACACGGUCCAGACUCCUACGGGAGGCAGCAGUGGGGAAUAUUGCACAAUGGGCGCAAGCCUGAUGCAGCCAUGCCGCGUGUAUGAAGAAGGCCUUCGGGUUGUAAAGUACUUUCAGCGGGGAGG